UGGGGAUUCGUCUAGUGGUAGGACAACAGACUCUGAAUCUGUAUGGGAGGGUUCGAAUCCUUCAUCCCCAGCCA
rnacentral:tRNA from 1 species